rnacentral:rRNA from 1 species
GUUUAACGCUGGCAGCGUGCAUAACACAUGCAAGUCGAACGAUGACACUAUAAUGCUCCCUUCGGGGAGAAUGAAAGCGGGUUAGUGGCGAACUGGUGAGUAACCCGCGAGUACCCUGCCUUACACAAGGGGAUAGCCUUUGGAAACGCAGAAUAAUACCCAAUAACACCAUACAAGCCCAUGCAAUUUUGUUCAAUGUGAUAGCGGUGUAAGAUGGACUUGCGUCUGAUUAGCUAGUUGGUGAGAUAACAGCCCACCAAGGCAACGAUCAGUAGCCGGCUUGAGAGAAUGGACAGCAGCAUUGGGACUGACACAAGUGCCAAACGCCGACGGGAGGGAGCAGUGGUGAAGUUUGCACAAUGGGUGAAACCCUAAGGCAGCGGGGCCGCGUGAUUUAGAAGGCCUGCGGGUUGUAAAAAUCUUUUGUAUAUGAAGAAAAUGACAGUACUAGAAGAAUAAGGUCCGGCUAAUUACGUG